AGCGGAAUAGUGUAAUGGCGGCACAAUAGUCUCAUGAUCUGUUAGUUUAGGUUCGAUCCCUGAUUUCGCUA
rnacentral:tRNA from 1 species